GAACUAAAAGCUAAAAAGAAGCAAUGGUCUUGUAAACCAAAGAAUGGAAACUUAACCCUUAGUUCA
rnacentral:tRNA from 1 species